rnacentral:rRNA from 1 species
AUGGAUACAACCUUUACCUCUGGUUACUCUUCAAUUCUUCUUAGUGGAGUUCCAGGCAAGCAAAUUCAAUGCAAAAGAGGGGUCAGACAAGGAGAUCCCCUAUCUCAAUUGCCAUUUGUCCUUGCAGCCGAUCUGCUACAAUUAGUAAUGAAUGAAGCUUUGCACAAUCACCUCCUUCAGAAACCUCUGGAAGCUCAUCCCUGCCCUGACUUUCCAGUCAUCCAAUAUGUUGAUGAUACAGUUCUCAUAAUGCCAACAUGCAUAGUACAAGUGGAGCAACUCAAGAACCUUUUGCUACACUUCUCUGUUUAUAAAGGGCUAAGAAUUAACUAUGAGAAAUCUGCUAUGGUUCCAAUCAACACCACUCCUGCCAAGAUGGAAAUUUUAGCAAAUUCUUUGGGCUGCAGCAUUGGUUCUUUCCCUUUCACCUACCUUGGGCUCCCUCUCAGCUUAACUAAGCCUACAUUGGAAGAUUUUGUGCCAGUAAUCAAAAGAAUUGACAAGAGACUAGGUGCAUGCUCAGCAUUGCUAUCUUAUGUUGAUAAGCUCACAUUAAUCAAACUAGUCUUUACUAGGCUGCCUACAUUCUUCAUGUGUACACUCAUGUUACCUACCAGCAUUGUGGAACAAAUCAAUAAAUAUCUGAGACGCUAUUUUUGGAGAAAAUAUGGCAUGGAAGACAAAGGUACUACACUGAUUUCAUGGGACAAAGUAUGUAUACCUAAAGACCAAGGGGGGCUUGGAGUCUACACAUUGCAACACACAACAAAUGUCUGCUCAUGA